rnacentral:rRNA from 2 species
GCUGACGAGCGGCGGACGGGUGAGUUAAUGCAUAGGAAUUCCUGCCCGAUAGUGGGGGAUAACCUGGGGAAACCCAGGCUAAUACCGCAUACGUCCUACGGGAGAAAGGGGGCUCCGGCUCCCGCUAUUGGAUGAGCCUAUGUCGGAUUAGCUAGUUGGUAAGGUAAUGGCUUACCAAGGCAACGAUCCGUAGCUGGUCUGAGAGGAUGAUCAGCCACAUCGGGACUGAGACACGGCCCGAACUCCUACGGGAGGCAGCAGUGGGGAAUAUUGGACAAUGGGGGCAACCCUGAUCCAGCCAUGCCGCGUGUGUGAAGAAGGCCCUCGGGUUGUAAAGCACUUUCAGCGAGGAAGAACGCCUAUCGGUUAAUACCCGGUAGGAAAGACAUCACUCGCAGAAGAAGCACCGGCUAACUCCGUGCCAGCAGCCGCGGUAAUACGGAGGGUGCAAGCGUUAAUCGGAAUUACUGGGCGUAAAGCGCGCGUAGGUGGCUUGAUAAGCCGGUUGUGAAAGCCCCGGGCUCAACCUGGGAACGGCAUCCGGAACUGUCAGGCUAGAGUGCAGGAGAGGAAGGUAGAAUUCCCGGUGUAGCGGUGAAAUGCGUAGAGAUCGGGAGGAAUACCAGUGGCGAAGGCGGCCUUCUGGACUGACACUGACACUGAGGUGCGAAAGCGUGGGUAGCAAACAGGAUUAGAUACCCUGGUAGUCCACGCCGUAAACGAUGUCGACCAGCCGUUGGGUGCCUAGAGCACUUUGUGGCGAAGUUAACGCGAUAAGUCGACCGCCUGGGGAGUACGGCCGCAAGGUUAAAACUCAAAUGAAUUGACGGGGGCCCGCACAAGCGGUGGAGCAUGUGGUUUAAUUCGAUGCAACGCGAAGAACCUUACCUACCCUUGACAUCUACAGAAGCCGGAAGAGAUUCUGGUGUGCCUUCGGGAACUGUAAGACAGGUGCUGCAUGGCUGUCGUCAGCUCGUGUUGUGAAAUGUUGGGUUAAGUCCCGUAACGAGCGCAACCCUUGUCCUUAUUUGCCAGCGAGUAAUGUCGGGAACUCUAAGGAGACUGCCGGUGACAAACCGGAGGAAGGUGGGGACGACGUCAAGUCAUCAUGGCCCUUACGGGUAGGGCUACACACGUGCUACAAUGGCCGGUACAAAGGGCUGCGAGCUCGCGAGAGUCAGCGAAUCCCUUAAAGCCGGUCUCAGUCCGGAUCGGGAGUCUGCAACUCGGAACUCCGUGGAAAGUCGGAAUCGCUAGGAAU